CCAGUGCCAGUGCCCAGCGUUCAGCUGCAGAGCUGUGUCAUCCUGACCAGGCUGUUCCUCUGCUGAGAUCGUGGCCCAAGUGCUUGCCACCUGACUGCCUUAGGUUCCUGCCUGGCUCUUCACUGUUCCCCAGGAUUCCAUAAGCUACCCAAUAUCCUUCCCCCAAGUUCCCUUUCUCCUAAAUAAACCAGUCAUUUGUUGUUGAUUGCAACAAUAAAUGUCGGUUUUGCAGAAAAGAAAAUUAAAGCUUUGAAAGGAUGAAAAUGUGUCCAAAGUUUUGUAACUAGUAAAUGGAGGCAGAAUUCUAAUACAGGUCUGUCUGGCUUCUAAAUAUGAUUCCCGCCCAUCCCAGCCCCCAAACCACUGCAUCUACAAUGUGGAUUACAGCAUACGGUUCAUAUGACAGCCUAUCACGGCUUGUCCUUCAAGAUUCCACCUGGUUCUUACCUCCCUAAGAAGUCUCGUUUGAUGACUCGACCUAGGUUGAAGAUGAUGAAAGAUGAACACACUAUGCUGCUACUUCUAAAUGGACAUGAGGGCUGGUCCUGUCAGUGAAUCUAAAGAGUCCUUCAAUGCGUGUCCUUCUGGAAGAGAGCACCUUUGGAAAGCUGGUUCACAAAUUCAAGAACACAGGCAAUGGUUUGGGCACACUGUUUUGUGGGUAACUGUUUCUGAAGAGGUAAAGGAAAUGGUCACUGCAGACAUAAUAGCCAGCUCACAGAGCAUUCUAGAAACUGGGGGUACUUUUCAGUACUACAUGAAAAAUUCUCAAUCCAUGUGCCUUUCACCGGUUCAAGAUGUAAGUCCUACAAAGUUUAGCUGAGGAUAAUCCCAGUUGUUGUUUGGAAAUGUGCUCAAGGCGCUCAGAUCUCCUGGAUAAGAAUGCCAAAGACUGAGAGCAAGCUACUUUUUAUGUAAAAGGGGAGGCAAACAGUAGAUGCAGUGCUGGGUCAGGAGACAAUCAAGACAAGCCACACUGAACUUCAGCCACCCAAACACAAGGCAAAGGUGAUGGUGUGGUGUGAGCUGUGGAAAGCACGUGUCUCGGGACCAUUUUUCUUUGAAGUAACGUGUCUGAAAAGAUGUAUUUUAUCAUGUAAAGUACCCAGUUAAUGCUGGCAUAUGACAGGCUAGGGGAAGUGUGCCAGGAGUGGUUCCAACAGGCUGGCACACUCACCACCCAUUAAGCCAGAAGGUGAGGGACUGGUUGGAUAAUUUCCAAAACUGGUUUGGCUGACAUGGUCGUGUGAAGGAUGCUGCCAGCUCGGAACUCCCUUGAUUCCUUCCUCUGGGGUUUGUUAAAGGCUCAGGUUUUGUCCACAUAAAUCAGAGACCAGAAUUAUCUGAGGCAGUGCACUGUACAUACAAAUGCAGGGAUGGACACACAUGAUGUGUUAGUUACCACCUUCACUGCACGCUUGUGCUGCUAGCAAGGGACAACACGUUAAACACACCAUGCGUUGAAAUGUAAUAGCAAUCAACCAUUUUUAUUUCCAGACUUUAUGGCUACCUCAUAUAGCUCUAUUUCUUCACCCAUAAAAAUGGAGUACCCACUAUAUUUCAGGAUUUAUGGCAGGACUAAAUGAAAUAAGACACAUAAAAUGAUAUGUAUUUAAAAUGUUUUAUCUGUAUCUAGUGUUAUAACAUUUAUUUAUGUUUACUGCUU